AGCACCGUGUCCGCGCCGCCGGUGCCCUCGUGCUCCGCAGCCGCUCAGCCCGGCGCAGCGGGGAGGCCGAUCAGCCGCCCCCCCGCCCGCGGCGGAGGGUCCCGCGCCUCCCUCCGUCCCUCCCUCCCGGUGCCGCGGCUACGUGGCCCCAGCGCAGCACCCGGGGCACCGGGCAGCGCCGUGGGGACGGGGGAGCGCCCGGUGCCUCCCGACCAGCUUUGUGCCGCCGGUCGGGCCCGGCCCCGCGCCCCCGAGCCCGUGCUCCCGCGAGUCGCAGCCCCACGGCCCGGCCGGCGGGGGGUCCCGGGCGGCGUGUCGGAGGGAGCGGCGGGGCCGCAGGGACCCGCUCGGUCCCAGCAGGAUGUCCCGGCCGCCCUCCAUCACCCUCCGCGUCUCCGAGGACACCGACAGCGAUGGCCAGGAGCUGAGCCCAGACAACGAAGGAGCCCUGCACACCUCCUUCCACCAGCUCAUCCAGGAGCAGAGCAGCUUGGUAGAGGCGGUUCUGGAGCUGGAGAUGCAGGCGAGGGGCAGAGGUAAAGUGCUGCGGCCGCAGCCAGGGUGGGAUGGGGACAGUGCGUGUGCCCAGGGCUAUUUACCGUUCC
rnacentral:lncRNA from 1 species